UAAGUAAAAAACUCGAACAUU
rnacentral:piRNA from 1 species